CCUACGGGCGUCAGCAGUGAGGAAUAUUGGUCAAUGGGCGCGAGCCUGAACCAGCCAAGUCGCGUGAGGGAAGACGGUCCUAUGGAUUGUAAACCUCUUUUGUCGGGGAGCAAAAGACGCCACGCGUGGCGUUCCGAGAGUACCCGAAGAAAAAGCAUCGGCUAACUCCGUGCCAGCAGCCGCGGUAAUACGGAGGAUGCGAGCGUUAUCCGGAUUUAUUGGGUUUAAAGGGUGCGCAGGCGGAAGAUCAAGUCAGCGGUAAAAUUGAGAGGCUCAACCUCUUCGAGCCGUUGAAACUGGUUGUCUUGAGUGAGCGAGAGGUAUGCGGAAUGCGUGGUGUAGCGGUGAAAUGCAUAGAUAUCACGCAGAACUCCGAUUGCGAAGGCAGCAUACCGGCGCUCAACUGACGCUGAUGCACGAAAGUGUGGGUAUCGAACAGGAUUAGAUACCCGGGUAGUC
rnacentral:rRNA from 1 species